AGUGAACGCUGGCGGUAGGCCUAACACAUGCAAGUCGAGCGGCCGAACCGUACUAGCUCCCGAUUACGGGGGGCGAGUGGCGGGCGGGUGCUGGGUAUCUCGCUAUUUGCUUUGUCUUGGGUGCUAACGUAGGGGCUCUUACGGUAAUAGCCCAUAGGACCUAAGGGUGGCAGCAUGGGAUCUUCGGCUCUUGCGCGAUCGUAUGAUGUUAUGUCGGAUUAGCUAGUUGGCGGGGUAAAGGCCCACCAAGGCGACGCUCCGCAGCUGGUCUGAGAGGAUGAUCAGCCACACUGGAACUGAGACACGGUCCAGACUCCUACGGGAGGCAGCAGUGGGGAAUAUUGGACAAUGGGCGCAAGCCUGAUCCAGCCAUACCGCGUGGGUGAAGAAGGCCUUCGGGUUGUAAAGCCCUUUAGGUAGGGAGGAAAAGCAGCAGGUUAAUACCCCGCUGUUCUGACGGUACCCAAAGAAUAAGCACCGGCUAACUUCGUG
rnacentral:rRNA from 1 species